rnacentral:lncRNA from 1 species
AUCAUUAGGCCAAGGUGAGUGUGAACUUUUUUUUCUGUGAAGCCAGUUUCUUAUUUUUAUUAUUGAAACUUGCUAGAAUGCACAAUCAUCUCAAGUGCUCUGCUCGCUAGACUUGGCAACAAAUUAUAACAUCAUCAUAGCCAGACUGUUUUAAAAGGCUUGUGCACCAGCUCCGACAUGGCAAUUGAAAGGUCAUUUGAUUUUUCUAGAUUUCUAUGUCCUUCAUAUAAAACAUUCAUGGCUAAUUCAUUUAUAAAAUGUGAGGAUUACUAAUAAUCUAUCAUUCUCCUUACAGAUAGUGAAGCACAUGUGUCACAAGAUAAAUACAAAUGGCAACCAGAUAUGUAUUACAGAAGCGAUCUCGUUUAUCAUGUUAUGGAGUACUGCCUCUAAGAUGCAGGGGUCACUGCAGAUGAUCAUAUGCUUAUAGCUUGACGAAGCAACCAAAAAGGUACAAACACAGACAAAACACACACUGAUAUAUCCUUUGAUACUCUCAAGGUUUUGAUGAUGACACUAACAGCAAGCUAAUAACAUGAAACUGAUAUGUGUGAGCAUGCUAUCAAAGGUUGUUUAUGCGUACUAACAGUAUUUCAGGAUGUUAGCAUGAUUAUAGCUGUCAGCAAGCUUACAGGAAUAUUUACAAGCUAUCAGCAGGCUUACAGCGUGAACAGAGAAACAAUCGGAUAAAGAUCAAAGUCUAUUUUCAAGGAGAAUUAAUAGGAAACGACUUUGUAAGGAUUCUAAUAUUUGUAUAUAUCUUAUAUAAAUAUUAGAGCUCAGUUUUAUAAAGAGUUUUAUUCAAAAACGUUUUCCUAACAAAUAGGAGAUUUUAUUUCAAAUCGAUUUUAUCUUUAACAAACUCCUAUUUUGUUUCAAACGGGUUUUAGUUUAAAUGUCUUACUGAGAUGAUUUCAAACGUAACUUAUCCUUUACUCAGUAAUCUUACUUCAUUCAAACGUUCAUCAUUCAAUUCAAAUUUAAACGUGAGGUUGUUACCAAGAUCGUUGGGAAAUUUGUUGGAUUAUGACCGUUGGUAUGAUGUAUAUAAAUUUGUGUGUGCUUUCAUUUUCGGUAGAGAACAAGGAGAACACACCAAGCUUUCUGAAAUACAACUCUUUACAUUGCUAAAUCUUUUAUUGAGCUCUAGUACUUAUAUUUGCAUAUAUAUCUAUAUUGAGAGUUCAUAGUUUCGGUUGUAUUACACUUAUUCAUUGUAUUGUUCAAGGUGUAAUGUUUUGUUGCUGUGUAUCGAGCUUGUGAAACAAGGGAACAAGGGGACUAGUUAGCUAGAAGAGUAUACUUGGGAAGUAUAGGUCUUGGAGAGCUUUUGGUUCGUGGUUCAGGGGUUUCAGCAGGCUGAUAACAGGAACAAGGGAGAAAGGGAGUUAUAUUAUUGAAUCUUGUAAUCGUUGAUAUUAUUGAUUAAUAAUAUAAUCUCUUACCAGUUGGUAGGGGACCAGGACGUAGACCAUUAGGGUUAGGGGUCGAACCUGGCUAAAAUUCUUGGUGUUGCUAGCAUACUGCUUUACAUUAUCUGCAUUGCAUUUAUCUUAUUAGCAGGCUAACAGUUUACUCUGAAAAUUAACAGCAGGCUGUCAUUGACAGAUUAAUUAUUCGGUAACUUAUAAAAAUCGGGUAUAUUAGCCAUAACACCUAUUCACCCCCCCUCUAGGUGUGUAAUUUCAAUUGGUAUCAGAGCUGUGUUUGUACUAAUACUUCUGUAACAGGAAUAGUAUCGAUCGAUAUGGCUGAUAACUUUCAGGGAAAGUCCGAUUUUAGAGCUCCUCUCCUCACGGGUUCUGACAACUACAAUUGGUGGAAAGGCCAAAUGGAGGCUCAUCUAUCCAGAGAUCCCCUAAUGCAAAGAGUUGUGCAAAGAGGUCCUUAUGAAUAUCUGGAUGGCAAUGGCAAAGUCAAGGACGUUGAUGUUCUCACAACGGAUGAGCUAUCAAAGGUUGCUGCCAAUGGAAAAGCAAGGAGUACAUUGAUCAAUGGGCUGAAUCAAGCUGAAUAUGACAAGGUCUCUUGUCUCAAAACAGCAAAGGAAAUUUGGGAUGCAUUGGAGACAUAUCAUGAAGGCUCAAAAGGUCUAAAGAAGGUCAAGCUCGGAAAGCUCAUGAAAGAAUUUGGAAGCUUCGCUAUCAAGAAGGGAGAAUCCAUUCGUGAAAGCCAAGCUAGAUUCCAAGUCACUCUUAACAGCCUUGAAAGACUUGGCAAAAAGAUUCCUCAAUCGGAAAUCAACAUGAAUAUUCUAAAUGCAGUUCCAUUCGAAUAUGGUGCCAAGGUCACAGCAUUGGAGUCAGCUCUCAACAUUGAUACUAUGGAUCACCUGGCUAUAUUUGCUGAGUUGGAACAAUUUGAAGCUAAGAUUGAAGCUAACAGCUCAGAAAGCAGCAAGCUGCCAACAGAGAAAAUGAAGAAUCUUGCACUGCACUCCUCUGUCAGCAAGCUGGAAACAGAUGAGGAAACAGAAUCAGAUGAGGAUCUAGCUCUUAUGUCCAGGAAAAUCAAGAGAAUGAUUGAAAAGAAAAACAAAAUGAAGCGAGAAAAGGGCAAAGCUUUUGGUGCAAAGAAAGAUCCAAAGGAUGAUGCAUGUUUUGAAUGUGGCAAGAAAGGGCAUUUCAAAAGGGAUUGCUACAAGCUGAAAAACAAGUCAAAGCCGCCUAGACAGCAAGCUGAUUACAAGAAUAAAAAGAAAUCCAAGGCACUUCUAACUUGGAGUGAUGAUGAAGAUGAGUCAGCUUCUGAUGAUUCUAGUGAUGAGAUGGUGAACUUGGCUCUUGUUGGUCUCGAUGGCUCAAUUGAUACAACGGAUUCAGAUACGGACACUAACAGUGAGGUAAACUCUAUUAAUUCUGAAUUACAUACUAUUGAUACAACUACUUGUGAACUAACCAUGCAGGAUAAGAGUUGUUUAUCAAUAAUGGAACUCAUUGAUCUAAAGAAUGAGAAUUAUGAGCUCGAGAAAGAAAAUGUUCAUUUGAAGAAAGUCAUAGGUGAUUUCUUGAAUGAAAAGAGUGCCAAAGCUAGUAGUGGAAUCAUUGCUACCCUCAAGGAACAGAUCUCACAACUUGAAGGGAACAACAUGCAAAUCCAAAGAAGGAAUGAUACACUCAUGAAGGAACUCAGCUCGCUGAGAGCAGAUCUUAAAGCUAAGGAUGCAAGCUUGGAGGCAUUCGAGUUAAGCAAAUCCCAAAGCUUAGCCGAAAUCUCUAUUCAAGCUGAAAAGAUCAAAUCAUUGGAGCAAGAAGUCAAAGAUCUUCAGAAAGCCAUGGGAAAGUUUGUUCAAGGAGAAGAAAGUCUCAAAUCUAUGAUGAAACAAGCUAAAGGUUCUCAUGACAAAGGAGGCAUUGGUGCAGCUUCUACAUCCACAUCUUCAAUGAGAUAUGAAGGGAAAAAUGGCAUUCCAUACAAUUAUGCCAUGCCUUGGGUGACUUGUCACAAGUGUGGAAAGAAGGGCCAUCUUGCUAAUAACUGUCCAAUGAAGAAUUCUCAAUCAGCAAGCUGGGAAAGGAAGUCAGCUCACAGGCAGUAUGCUGACAACAGAAACAGACAGAAGACAGCUCCAAGACAGAAUGUUGAUAAGACCGGAAGUCAGCUCACAGACAGUAUGCUGACAACACAAACAGACAGAAGACAGCUCCUAGACAGUAUGCUGACAAGACUGGCAGAACAUGGAAGAAGAAUUCUAAAGUGGUCCAAAUGUGGAUCAAGAAAUCUGAUCUUAAUGUUCUAUAUGUUUUAUCAUCUAACACUGCUGGACCCAACAAAAUAUGGGUACCAAAACGUUGAGUUGUUUGUGUUUGUUUUGUAGGUUUGUCUCGUGUCUAAAGUAAAGCCAAAUCAAUGGAUAUUGGAUAGUGGAUGCACUAGGCACAUGAGUGGAGACAAAUCUCAGUUUCUAAGCUUGAAGAUGAAGAAGGGUGGACGUGUCACAAUUGGUGAUAGCAAAACUCUUCCUAUUCUUGGCAAAGGAACUAUAGGUAAUAGUAUCAUUUCUAUUAACAAGGUACAAUAUGUUAAAGGUCUUACUUAUAACUUGCUUAGUAUAAGUCAGUUAUUUGAUGAUGGUCAUAUUGUUAACUUUGGUAAGGAUGAAUGUACUAUACUUGUUGGUGCUAACAAAACUCCUCUAGUUGCAAAACGAGAAGGAAAUAUAUAUGUCUUGAACUUUGAAGAACAGGAGGCAGGUGUUUGUUUAGCAGCUAUGGAUAAUAAUCCAGAAAUUUGGCAUAGAAGGCUUGGACAUGCUCAUAUGGAUCAUCUCAGCAAGCUGUCAGCAAAGAAGCUUGUUCGAGGACUACCAAAGCUUAAGUAUGUCAAGAUGGAGACAUGUUCUGCUUGUCAAUUGGGAAAGCAAACAAGGACUCCACAUAAGGCAAAGAAAAUGGUAUCUACUUCUAAACCUUUAGAGCUUCUUCACUUGGAUCUUUUUGGUCCCGAAGCUUAUAAGAGUAUUGGAGGUAAACAAUAUGCCUUUGUUAUUGUUGAUGAUUAUUCUAGAUUCACUUGGGUAUUAUUCUUGCGUACUAAAGAUUGUGCUUUUAGUGAAUUUGAGAAACUAAUCAAGUUGCUUGAGAACAAACUAGAUACAAGACUUGUAGGUAUUCGAAGUGAUCAUGGUGGGGAAUUCCAAAAAGACUUCAUUACUUAUUGUGAAGAAAGAGGAAUCUCACAUGAGUUCUCAGCACCUCGUACACCUCAGCAAAAUGGAGUUGUAGAGCGUAAGAACAGGUCCUUACAAGAAACAGCUAGGACAUUGCUGCAGGAGAGCAAGCUGCCAAGAAGCUUUUGGGCAGAAGCUGUCAACACAGCAAGCUAUGUUCUUAACAGAGUGCUUAUCAGGCCAAUUCUCAACAAGACUCCUUAUGAAUUGCUAAGGAAAAAGAAGCCUAACAUCAGCUACUUCAAGGUUUUUGGAUCUAAGUGCUUCGUACUCAAAACCAUUGAUAGGGAUGGUAAAUUCGACUCUAAAUCUUAUGAAGCUAUAUUUUUGGGUUAUUCUUUAACAAGUCGUGCUUAUAGAGUGUAUAAUCUUGCUAAACAUACUGUUGAAGAGUCUAUUGAUGUUUCAUUUCAAGAGUCUACUGAUGAUCUUGCAAGGGAUGAGGAAGAAUGUGCAGGUACAGGUACUAGCAGCAAGCUGACAGUGAAGGAAACUGGAAAUCAGCAAGCUGACAAGUCAACUGCCACAACUUCAGAAGGCAAUAAAGCUACUGAAUCCACUCCAUCUCUUGAGGAAACCUUGGAUAAGAUGUCAAAGCUUACAUUGGAUGAAUCCAGAGGUCAAACUUCAUCAGCAAGCCAAAAUGUUGUUGAUCAAACUCCUCCAAGACAGACUACAAGGAAUGAAGAGGUCAUAGCUCAACAUAACCUACCAAAAUCAACUAGAACAGUGAAGAAUCAUCCUCCUCAGUUGAUCGAUAUUUACAAGCUAUCAGCAGGCUUACAGCGUGAACAGAGAAACAAUCGGAUAAAGAUCAAAGUCUAUUCUCAAGGAGAAUUAAUA